rfam:Ictidomys tridecemlineatus contig098201, whole genome shotgun sequence.
AGGAAAUGAGGAUGGGGCUGGGGAGACUGGCCACCCCGAGUCUGCCCCAGGUGAAUAGGCUCA